GAGAUACAUCGAAAUGAUGUUGUAAUGAAGGAAAGGCAUUUUAAUUAAACUAUGAAUAAAAAUAAUGAAUAAUAAAGUCUCGGUGACCGAUUUUACAUUUACCAAGUCAUUUGAUCAUGAACAUGGUAACUCCAGUACAACAAAAUGUUUUCUAUGAUUUAAAAUAGAAGUCAUUAUGACAGCAAUCAAAACGAAUUCUUCUGUCCUUGUAAUAUGUAUAAUAUGUUUGCUCAUUAAUGUCAAUCUUGUAAAUGGUUUUUCUAAAGACAGUGCUUGUGGUGGGACACAUGGAUGCUGGGGCGAUUGUGAUGGAGGUUGCUCCUACUUACUUAUGUGGACGCCUGCAGGUUCCGGUGUAACUUUCACGAUGAAAGUCGUAUUAUCGUCAAAUGCUGAUCAAUGGGCAGGUUUUGCAUUAUCAACAACUGCAUCAAUGCAAAGUUCCAGUGUGACAUCAUGCCUUAUGACAAGUAGCGGUACUUCGUUUGUUCCAGAGAAUUCUUAUAACGCUGCAUCUGGAAGGACAAACACCGUUGUAUCAAAUCCAACAGAUGGUUUAACAGGUACCUCGGCAAGUUACACCAGCAACAUUCUGACAUGUGAGUUGACAAGAAGCAACACGAAUUCUGACCCGCAGGUUUUUAAUCUUACUACAGACUACUAUAUACUGUUUGCGAAAGGGACAGUCACAGGAGGAACCAAAGACCAGCAUUCAUUUACUGACAAAACCGGUUCAGUGGUUGACUUUCAGGCGACAGAAGAUCUCGCUGGGGGUGUGGCGAUGAUAAAACCUUUCACAUCAAUAUUGAUCAUGUUAAGCGUCUCUCAAAUUGUACUGUUCUCUAUGUAAAUACUAUCAACGAAUAGAAGAAAACAAUUUGCAAAUAUUUUGUACUAAAUAUGGAAUCAUUUUUAUUCUUUUAGACUUCUUUAAGAAAUGAAUUAGAAUUAUAGAUUUAUUUACAAAUUGAAGAAUCUGUGAUAUCACAAGUAAAGAUAACUUUUGUACACAAACUGCAAAAAUUCUAUUAUAUUUGACACAUUUUAAAGUCAUAUGUCACUCCUAUAUAUGACCCUGGUGGUAUUUAGUGGACAUCAUAUUAAUUUCUUCGUCAUUCGAAAAACAUCCGAGUUGAAUAUUUUUUGAAAGAUCGAUACAUACCUAUUUGGUGUUGAAAGCUAUAGAUGUAAGAAGUUAUAAAAAAUCUCAAAAAGUCAAUGUCGGAAGCAAAUUUCUAAAUUCAAUUGAAAUGUUAAAAAAUGAAAACAUCCCUUUACUUAAAAAUACAUGACAGAUUUUGCUUCUAUACAGGUUAUGUUUCGCUAUCGGAUAUGUCAAUUUACGCAUGUGAAGUUAUUUUCUUGAAAUAUCAUCGCGGCUGUUCCUAGAAUGUAACAAUGUCCGUAACAGUUUAUUUUAUCAGUUUAAUUGGUUGUGAAUCAAAACACUUUAUGCAUCAGUGUCAACAUUUAUAAGUAUGUAGUUGUUUUGAAAGAAGAAAAAACUUUGCAUUCCAGUUUAUAGAUAUACAUGUAUCUUGUAUGUACUGAGGAAAACAAUGAUUAAUAAUUAUCUUUAAUUUCAAAAAUAUUUAUUUAUUUUAUUUUAUUGGCAAUAUAUCUUGAAAAUAAAAAGCAAAAAUCUUUUAAAAAAUCAUGCCAAGCAGCUAUGUCUCCGUAGCGCUGUUUUCGUCAAUACUGAGGAAUCGUUAGAGAUCUUUUGUUUUCAUGCAUUGCAUUUUUUUCCCGUAAAUUAGAUUUAGAUAUCUUAUUAGACAGUACUGAAUGCUGUGAACAACAAUACACAUUAUAUAUUAUAACACACAUUAUAUCAUUCCGUUACGGAUCGAUAUUAGAAUUUUGAAUUUUAAUUAAUAAAAUAGUCAGAAAACUAA